rnacentral:rRNA from 1 species
CACGUAGGGCGCGAGCGUUGUCCGGAAUUAUUGGGCGUAAAGAGCUCGUAGGCGGCUUGUUGCGUCGACUGUGAAAACCUGCGGCUCAACCGUGUGGUCUGCAGUCGAUACGGGCAGGCUGGAGUUCGGUAGGGGAGACUGGAAUUCCUGGUGUAGCGGUGAAAUGCGCAGAUAUCAGGAGGAACACCGGUGGCGAAGGCGGGUCGCUGGGCCGAUACUGACGCUGAGGAGCGAAAGCGUGGGGAGCGAACAGG